rnacentral:rRNA from 1 species
AGUGAACGCUGGCGGUAGGCCUAACACAUGCAAGUCGAACGGCAGCACAGUAAGAGCUUGCUCUUACGGGUGGCGAGUGGCGGACGUGUGAGGAAUACAUCGGAAUCUACUUUUUCGUGGGGGAUAACGUAGGGAAACUUACGCUAAUACCGCAUACGACCUACGGGUGAAAGCAGGGGAUCUUCGGACCUUGCGCGAUUGCAUGAGCCGAUGUCGGAUUAGCUAGUUGGCGGGGUAAAGGCCCACCAAGGCGACGAUCCGUAGCUGGUCUGAGAGGAUGAUCAGCCACACUGGAACUGAGACAAGGGCAAGACUCCUUCAGGAGGCAGCAGUGGGGAAUAUUGGACAAUGGGCGCAAGCCUGAUCCAGCCAUACCGCGUGAGUGAAGAAGGCCUUCGGGUUGUAAAGCCCUUUUGUUGGGAAAGAAAAGCAGCAGGUUAAUACCCCGCUGUUCUGACGGUACCCAAAGAAUAAGCACCGGCUAACUUCGUG